ACUCGUGUAGCUCAAUUGGUAGAGCAUGAGACCUGGUAUCUCAAGGUUGCGGGUUCAAAUCCCGCCGUGGGGA
rnacentral:tRNA from 1 species